rnacentral:rRNA from 1 species
UACGGAGGAGGCAAGCGUUAUCCGGAAUUAUUGGGCGUAAAGCGUCCGUAGGUGGUUUAGUAAGUCUGCUGUUAAAGCGCGGGGCUUAACUCCGUAUCGGCAGUGGAAACUACAUGGCUAGAGUGCGUUCGGGGCAGAGGGAAUUCCUGGUGUAGCGGUGAAAUGCGUAGAUAUUGGGAAGAACACCGGUGGCGAAAGCGCUCUGCUGGACCUGCACUGACACUGAGGGACGAAAGCUAGGGGAGCAAACGGG